GAGCACGUAGGUGGGUUUGUAAGUCAGAUGUGAAAGCCUUCUGUUCAACGGAAGAAUUGCAUCUGAAACUGCGAGUCUUGAGUGUAGGAGGGGAGAAUGGAACUUCUGGUGGAGCGGUGAAAUGCGUAGAUAUCAGAAGGAACGCCGGCGGCGAAAGCGAUUCUCUGGCCUAUUACUGACACUCAAUGUGCGAAAGCUAGGGGAGCAAACGGGAUUAGAUACCCCGGUAGUCCUAGCCGUAAACGAUGGGCACUAAGUAGAGGGGUUUU
rnacentral:rRNA from 1 species